GUCGGAUUCGGGAUGAAAUGGUUGACGGUGCCACCGAACAGCGCCAGCGUGCGCUUACCGUCCUGGACCAUCUGCACACCACGAGUGCGGAAUUCCUU
rnacentral:sRNA from 1 species